ACUUGAUAACAGCCUAAUCUCAUUCGUUGAGAACGGAGGAACCAUUAUUUUGGGGUUAAUUCUGCUUGCAGAAGGGAUGAUUACUCUUUCGCCAUCCUACCCGUCAGCUAACUUCGUCGGCUAAUGCGAAGGAGGUC
rnacentral:sRNA from 1 species